rnacentral:rRNA from 1 species
ACCGGGGGAACUGAAACAUCUAAGUACCCCGAGGAAAAGAAAUCAACCGAGAUUCCCCCAGUAGCGGCGAGCGAACGGGGAGGAGCCCAGAGCCUGAAUCAGUGUGUGUGUUAGUGGAAGCGUCUGGAAAGGCGCGCGAUACAGGGUGACAGCCCCGUACACAAAAAUGCACAUAUUGUGAGCUCGAUGAGUAGGGCGGGACACGUGGUAUCCUGUCUGAAUAUGGGGGGACCAUCCUCCAAGGCUAAAUACUCCUGACUGACCGAUAGUGAACCAGUACCGUGAGGGAAAGGCGAAAAGAACCCCGGCGAGGGGAGUGAAAAAGAACCUGAAACCGUGUACGUACAAGCAGUGGGAGCCUCUUUAUGGGGUGACUGCGUACCUUUUGUAUAAUGGGUCAGCGACUUAUAUUCUGUAGCAAGGUUAACCGAAUAGGGGAGCCGAAGGGAAACCGAGUCUUAACUGGGCGUUAAGUUGCAGGGUAUAGACCCGAAACCCGGUGAUCUAGCCAUGGGCAGGUUGAAGGUUGGGUAACACUAACUGGAGGACCGAACCGACUAAUGUUGAAAAAUUAGCGGAUGACUUGUGGCUGGGGGUGAAAGGCCAAUCAAACCGGGAGAUAGCUGGUUCUCCCCGAAAGCUAUUUAGGUAGCGCCUCGUGAAUUCAUCUCCGGGGGUAGAGCACUGUUUCGGCAAGGGGGUCAUCCCGACUUACCAACCCGAUGCAAACUGCGAAUACCGGAGAAUGUUAUCACGGGAGACACACGGCGGGUGCUAACGUCCGUCGUGAAGAGGGAAACAACCCAGACCGCCAGCUAAGGUCCCAAAGUCAUGGUUAAGUGGGAAACGAUGUGGGAAGGCCCAGACAGCCAGGAUGUUGGCUUAGAAGCAGCCAUCAUUUAAAGAAAGCGUAAUAGCUCACUGGUCGAGUCGGCCUGCGCGGAAGAUGUAACGGGGCUAAACCAUGCACCGAAGCUGCGGCAGCGACACUAUGUGUUGUUGGGUAGGGGAGCGUUCUGUAAGCCUGUGAAGGUGGCCUGUGAGGGUUGCUGGAGGUAUCAGAAGUGCGAAUGCUGACAUAAGUAACGAUAAAGCGGGUGAAAAGCCCGCUCGCCGGAAGACCAAGGGUUCCUGUCCAACGUUAAUCGGGGCAGGGUGAGUCGACCCCUAAGGCGAGGCCGAAAGGCGUAGUCGAUGGGAAACAGGUUAAUAUUCCUGUACUUGGUGUUACUGCGAAGGGGGGACGGAGAAGGCUAUGUUGGCCGGGCGACGGUUGUCCCGGUUUAAGCGUGUAGGCUGGUUUUCCAGGCAAAUCCGGAAAACCAAGGCUGAGGCGUGAUGACGAGGCACUACGGUGCUGAAGCGACAAAUGCCCUGCUUCCAGGAAAAGCCUCUAAGCAUCAGGUAACAUCAAAUCGUACCCCAAACCGACACAGGUGGUCAGGUAGAGAAUACCAAGGCGCUUGAGAGAACUCGGGUGAAGGAACUAGGCAAAAUGGUGCCGUAACUUCGGGAGAAGGCACGCUGAUAUGUAGGUGAAGCGACUUGCUCGUGGAGCUGAAAUCAGUCGAAGAUACCAGCUGGCUGCAACUGUUUAUUAAAAACACAGCACUGUGCAAACACGAAAGUGGACGUAUACGGUGUGACGCCUGCCCGGUGCCGGAAGGUUAAUUGAUGGGGUUAGCGGUAACGCGAAGCUCUUGAUCGAAGCCCCGGUAAACGGCGGCCGUAACUAUAACGGUCCUAAGGUAGCGAAAUUCCUUGUCGGGUAAGUUCCGACCUGCACGAAUGGCGUAAUGAUGGCCAGGCUGUCUCCACCCGAGACUCAGUGAAAUUGAACUCGCUGUGAAGAUGCAGUGUACCCGCGGCAAGACGGAAAGACCCCGUGAACCUUUACUAUAGCUUGACACUGAACAUUGAGCCUUGAUGUGUAGGAUAGGUGGGAGGCUUUGAAGUGUGGACGCCAGUCUGCAUGGAGCCGACCUUGAAAUACCACCCUUUAAUGUUUGAUGUUCUAACGUUGGCCCGUAAUCCGGGUUGCGGACAGUGUCUGGUGGGUAGUUUGACUGGGGCGGUCUCCUCCUAAAGAGUAACGGAGGAGCACGAAGGUUGGCUAAUCCUGGUCGGACAUCAGGAGGUUAGUGCAAUGGCAUAAGCCAGCUUGACUGCGAGCGUGACGGCGCGAGCAGGUGCGAAAGCAGGUCAUAGUGAUCCGGUGGU